UCUUCCCGAAGGAAACUUGGACCGACCAAAGAGGAUGUUCAGGAAAACGCACCACACGAGUUAAGGAAAAGAUUGAAAUCCUCAGCACUCAGUAACCUGGUAAACGCUGGGUCUAUAUCAGAUGAAUCGUUUAACCUUCCAGUCGAUACAAAAUGCAACAGUGAAGCGCAGGAAGGAUAUGGCUCUAGCCUGAACUCAAAACUUUCACCGUUCUCAUCUUCGGAACCUAAAUUGCCUUCCCAGGGUGGACAGCCAAAGAAUGAUGAGAAAAGUUGCAAACGAGAUGAAGUAAUUGCUACCGUUGGCUAUCAGGACGAGGAAUCAGACUCCAGUGAAGACGACGACGGGAUCAGCAUAGAAGAAUUACAGAAAACACCUGGAUGGCUGUUGUUCGUGAAGAACGUGGAAAGACAUUUCGAGCGAGAAGACUUUGGCAAUCAAUGAAAAAUCAUGUCAUUUUUAAAACGCCACUAUUUUAUUUAUCUAUCUAUUGUUUGCUAUUGCUUAAGGUGUCGAAAAGUAUUCUUGUCUUUCAAUCUCUCGAUAAGUAAAUCUCUUUCUACUUUUUAAAUGAUAUCUGGCAGGGGAGUUUAAUUACAUUUCAGGAAACAACAAAAUGUUUCGAUUACUGACAACAUUAAUGGCGAAGCAGUCUGUAGCUUUCAAACGUAGCUUUUUGUUUUUAUUUCCUCCUGCUUUGCUUUCCAACAUGUUAAGACGUCUCAUCUUGAUGCAACAUAGCCUAAAUUAUUAAUAAGACACUCAAACUUACCGUUACCUGCUAUGAAAAUGAUGUUGAAGUUGGACACUUGUUACAGGUAAGCUAGUUUCCGCACAGUAACAGUCGCCCUUUACACCUUUAAUAUGUCCUGAACAGAACUGAAUAUUCGAAAGUGGCGAACGCUUGUUGGCGAUCGCGAUGUAUAUAAAGCUCUUAUACCACCAGCCCUCUAUUGGGUGUACACUCGUUGUGUGUCAGCAGCCAGUUUGUUUCUUAGAAUAUUCCCUCCCUAGCUAUAGACGGCUGAUAAGGGUAUUAAUCGUACCCAGCUCCACAAGAUCAGACACAUUCACUGCACAUAAUUUUUGGAUGAUUUAUCGCGAUGUAAAUAAAGCUGUUGAACUACA